UGGGGAAUAUUGGACAAUGGAGGGAACUCUGAUCCAGCAAUUCUGUGUGUGUGAAGAAGGUUUUAGGACUGUAAAACACUUUUAGUAGGGAAGAAAAAAAUGACGGUACCUACAGAAGAAGCAACGGCUAAAUACGUGCCAGCAGCCGCGGUAAUACGUAUGUUGCGAGCGUUAUCCGGAAUUAUUGGGCUUAAAGGGCAUCUAGGCGGUAAGACAAGUUGAAGGUGAAAACCUGUGGCUCAACCAUAGGCUUGCCUACAAAACUGUUGAACUAGAGUACUGGAAAGGUGGGUGGAACUACACGAGUAGAGGUGAAAUUCGUAGAUAUGUGUAGGAAUGCCGAUGAUGAAGAUAGCUCACUGGACAGAAACUGACGCUGAAGUGCGAAAGCUAGGGGAGCAAACAGG
rnacentral:rRNA from 1 species